rnacentral:lncRNA from 1 species
UGCUCACUGAUCCACGCGCGUAGUCCUAGCAUCGCCUACAUGUCCGUGUUCUCCUAGUCUUGUCGCCAGCAUCCGCGUCAACCGUGGCAUAGACCGCCUGAUUUGUUGGGCACUUCGGCCCAAAACCUCGUCAGGGUCGUGCCUUGCAGCUAUUCAUCGUCUUGCGUGUGGGUGUGAUGCAAUGCCUGGGCUGAAUUUUUCAUAAUAUAGUAUGUUUUAUAAAGAAAUUUUAUAAAUAA